AGGAGCUGUGUUCUCAACCCCUGCAUGAGCUUGGGCAGAUUUCUUCCCCUCUCUGGGUCUCAUGUCCCUCCCUGGGUAAAUAAGGAGGAUGAGCUGGUGACCUUUCCAGCCCUAAAGCCACGCGGGAGUGAGUGGGCAAGUUGGAAGGGAUGACUGUGAGUUUCUGAGGUGCUGCUCCCUGAAGUCCUGGUCCAAGGGAGGGGUAAUUCCAGCUGCGAACCUGGGGCUCUGGGCUCACUGUUUACAGUUGCUUCACAAAUCAACGCCAGCAGAAGAGAGGAGGGAGAAAAAAAGAGUGUUCAUUGCAUCCCAACUGGCUCUGAAGGAAGAAGCUGGAAUGAAUUCUAAAAAGCAGCAAAAAAAAAAAAAAAAAAGAAA